AACGCUGGCGGCAUGCUUACACAUGCAAGUCGAGCGGAGAUGAGGUGCUUGCACCUUAUCUUAGCGGCGGACGGGUGAGUAAUGCUUAGGAAUCUGCCUAUUAGUGGGGGACAACAUUCCGAAAGGGAUGCUAAUACCGCAUACGUCCUACGGGAGAAAGCAGGGGAUCUUCGGACCUUGCGCUAAUAGAUGAGCCUAAGUCGGAUUAGCUAGUUGGUGGGGUAAAGGCCUACCAAGGCGACGAUCUGUAGCGGGUCUGAGAGGAUGAUCCGCCACACUGGGACUGAGACACGGCCCAGACUCCUACGGGAGGCAGCAGUGGGGAAUAUUGGACAAUGGGGGGAACCCUGAUCCAGCCAUGCCGCGUGUGUGAAGAAGGCCUUAUGGUUGUAAAGCACUUUAAGCGAGGAGGAGGCUACUGAGACUAAUACUCUUGGAUAGUGGACGUUACUCGCAGAAUAAGCACCGGCUAACUCUGUGCCAGCAGCCGCGGUAAUACAGAGGGUGCGAGCGUUAAUCGGAUUUACUGGGCGUAAAGCGUGCGUAGGCGGCUUUUUAAGUCGGAUGUGAAAUCCCCGAGCUUAACUUGGGAAUUGCAUUCGAUACUGGGAAGCUAGAGUAUGGGAGAGGAUGGUAGAAUUCCAGGUGUAGCGGUGAAAUGCGUAGAGAUCUGGAGGAAUACCGAUGGCGAAGGCAGCCAUCUGGCCUAAUACUGACGCUGAGGUACGAAAGCAUGGGGAGCAAACAGGAUUAGAUACCCUGGUAGUCCAUGCCGUAAACGAUGUCUACUAGCCGUUGGGGCCUUUGAAGCUUUAGUGGCGCAGCUAACGCGAUUAGUAGACCGCCUGGGGGAAUACGGUUG
rnacentral:rRNA from 1 species